GACAGAGGGUGCAAACGUUGUUCGGAAUUACUGGGCGUAAAGCGUGUGUAGGCUGCCUUGUAAGUCGGAUGUGAAAGCCCCGGGCUCAACCCGGGAAGUGCACCCGAUACUACAAGGCUGGAGUCUCGGAGAGGUUGGUGGAAUUCUCGGUGUAGAGGUGAAAUUCGUAGAUAUCAGGAGGAACACCGGUGGCGAAGGCGGGUCUCUGGGCCGAUACUGACGCUGAGGAGCGAAAGCGUGGGGAGCGAACAGG
rnacentral:rRNA from 1 species